rnacentral:rRNA from 1 species
AGCAUUGAGGCAGUCAAAGUAGGCAAAUCCGCUUUGAUAAUGCUGGGAUGUGAUGGGGAGCGAAAUUUAGUAGCGAAGUAGCUGAUUUCACACUGUCAAGAAAAGUCUCUAUCGAGGUUAAAGGUACCCGUACCGCAAACCGACACAGGUGGGUGAGGAGAGUAUCCUAAGGCCAGCGAGAGAACUGUUGUUAAGGAACUCGGCAAAAUGACCCCGUAACUUAGGGAUAAGGGGUGCCACCAUCAGGUGGCCGCAGAGAAUAGGCCCAAGCGACUGUUUACCAAAAACAUAGGUUUCUGCUAAGUCGCAAGACGAUGUAUAGGAGCUGACGCCUGCCCGGUGCUGGAAGGUUAAGGGGAUCUGUUAGAGCAAUCGAAGCAGUGAACUUAAGCCCCAGUAAACGGCGGCCGUAACUAUAACGGUCCUAAGGUAGCGAAAUUCCUUGUCGGGUAAGUUCCGACCCGCACGAAAGGCGUAACGAUUUGGGCACUGUCUCAACAACAGACUCGGUGAAAUUGUAAUUCCGGUGAAGAUGCCGGAUACCUGCGACAGGACGGAAAGACCCCAUGGAGCUUUACUGUAGCUUGACAUUGGGUCUUGGUACUACAUGUACAGGAUAGGUGGGAGGCUUUGAAACCAGGACGCCAGUUUUGGCGGAGCCAUCCUUGGGAUACCACCCUUGUAGUACUGGGACUCUAACCAUAGGCCAUGAAUCUGGUCUUGGGACACUGUCAGGUGGGCAGUUUGACUGGGGCGGUCGCCUCCCAAAAGGUAACGGAGGCGCUCAAAGGUUCUCUCAGUACGGUCGGAAAUCGUACGUAGAGUGUAAAGGCAAAAGAGAGCUUGAUUGCAAGACAUACAGGUCGAGCAAGGAUGAAAAUCGGACUUAGUGAUCCGGUGGUUCUGCGUGGAAGGGCCAUCGCUCAACGGAUAAAAGCUACCCUGGGGAUAACAGGCUUAUCUCCCCCAAGAGUCCACAUCGACGGGGAGGUUUGGCACCUCGAUGUCGGCUCAUCACAUCCUGGGGCUGCAGUAGGUCCCAAGGGUUGGGCUGUUCGCCCAUUAAAGUGGUACGCGAGCUGGGUUCAGAACGUCGUGAGACAGUUCGGUCCCUAUCCGUCGCAGGCGUAGGAAAUUUGAGAAGACCUGUCCUUAGUACGAGAGGACCGGGAUGGACGUACCUCUGGUGUACCAGUUGUCCUGCCAAGGGCAUGGCUGGGUAGCUAUGUACGGAAUGGAUAAGCGCUGAAAGCAUCUAAGCGCGAAGCCAACUUCAAGAUAAGAUUUCCCACCGCAAGGGUAAGACCCCAGAAAGACUAUCUGGUUGAUAGGUCGAAGGUGUAAGUGCAGCAAUGUAUUUAGCUUAUCGAUACUAAUAGGUCGAGGACUUGACCAA